UACGUAGGGGGCAAGCGUUGUCCGGAAUUAUUGGGCGUAAAGAGCGCGUAGGCGGUCCGAUAAGUCGGCUGUGAAAGUCAGGGGCUCAACCCUUGAAAGCCGGCCGAUACUGUCGGACUAGAGUCCGGAAGAGGCAAGUGGAAUUCCCGGUGUAGCGGUGAAAUGCGUAGAUAUGUGGAGGAAUACCGAUGGCGAAGGCAGCCCCCUGGGAUAACACUGACGCUCAUGCACGAAAGCGUGGGGAGCAAACAGG
rnacentral:rRNA from 1 species